UCGCGGGUGACCGCGAAUCUGAAGGAAGCCGAAGGCAAAGCGCUGGCCUGACGAACGGGAAGCGGAUAGGAGGCGGCACGGUGGGGUGAGGCGGCCAUUAUCGCCAAAGCCCGAAACUUGCACGGAACGCCGUGACGUAGAUCCGACAGGUAUAAGCGUGAAGGCGGGUGCG
rnacentral:ncRNA from 1 species